rnacentral:rRNA from 1 species
CCUACGGGAGACAGCAGUGAGGAAUAUUGGUCAAUGGACGAGAGUCUGAACCAGCCAAGUAGCGUGAAGGAUGACUGCCCUACGGGUUGUAAACUUCUUUUAUAUGGGAAUAAAAUGUUCCACGUGUGCGUUUUUGUAUGUACCAUAUGAAUAAGGAUCGGCUAACUCCGUGCCAGCAGCCGCGGUAAUACGGAGGAUCCGAGCGUUAUCCGGAUUUAUUGGGUUUAAAGGGAGCGUAGGUGGAUUGUUAAGUCAGUUGUGAAAGUUUGCGGCUCAACCGUAAAAUUGCAGUUGAAACUGGCAGUCUUGAGUACAGUAGAGGUAGGCGGAAUUCGUGGUGUAGCGGUGAAAUGCUUAGAUAUCACGAAGAACUCCGAUUGCGAAGGCAGCUCACUGAACUGCAACUGACACUGAGGCUCGAAAGUGUGGGUAUCAAACAGGAUUAGAUACCCUAGUAGUC